rfam:Folsomia candida strain VT population Fcan01_Sc010, whole genome shotgun sequence.
CUAAUUAGACGAUAAGACCCUAUAGAGCUUUAUAUAUGUAUUCUGUUAAGUAUUAAAAUUUUUAUUGGUUAAUAACCAGGUUGUAUAUUUUAUUGGGGCAAUAAAAGAAUAAAAUUAACUUCUUAUUAAUAAAUUUUAUUUAAUUAAUUAACUUUUAAUAUAAAAUUUAAUAGAAGUUACCUUAGGGAUAACAGCGUUAUUAAAGUUGAGAGUUCUUAUCGACACUUUAGAUUGCGACCUCGAUGUUGAAUUAAAAAUUCUUUGAGGGGCAGCAUUUUUAUUAGAUGGUCUGUUCGACCAUUAAAUUUUUACAUGAUUUGAGUUCAAACCGGUGUGAGCCAGGUUGGUUUCUAUCUUUUAG